ACUCAAAGGAAUUGACGGGGGCCCGCACAAGCGGAGGAGCAUGUGGUUUAAUUCGAUGAUACGCGAGGAACCUUACCUGGGCUUAAAUGUAGGGCGACGUUCCGGGAAACCGGAAUUCCCUUUUGGGCGACCUACAAGGUGCUGCAUGGCUGUCGUCAGCUCGUGCCGUGAGGUGUCGGGUUAAGUCCCAUAACGAGCGCAACCCCUAUUCUUAGUUGCCAUCAGGUAAUGCUGGGGACUCUAAGAAAACUGCCUACGCAAGUAGUGAGGAAGGUGGGGAUGACGUCAAGUCAGCACGGCCCUUACGUCCAGGGCUACACACGUGCUACAAUGGCCGGUACAGUGGGUUGCUACUUGGUAACAAGAUGCUAAUCUCUAAAGCCGGUCUCAGUUCGGAUCGAAGUCUGCAACUCGACUUCGUGAAGUUGGAUUCGCUAGUAAUCGGAUAUCAGCAAUGAUCCGGUGAAUACGUUCCCGGGCCUUGUACACACCGCCCGU
rnacentral:rRNA from 1 species